rnacentral:lncRNA from 1 species
AGGAGAAUACACUUCUGAAGAAACUCAACUAGUAGCAGAGAAGAUUGUUAGAAACUCAUAACAAGCCUAAUUUUAAUUUUAAUGUCUUCAAUCAUGUUUUUUGGCAUGUAUUAUGUAAUAGAUGGAUAAAACACUAUUUUUUUCAGGAUGACUUAGUAGAAAAAAGAUCUCAAGGAUCAUUCACUCAAGAAGGCCGAGAUGACAUACUAG